rnacentral:rRNA from 1 species
UACGAAGGGGACUAGCGUUGUUCGGAAUUACUGGGCGUAAAGCGCACGUAGGCGGAUUUGUAAGUCAGGGGUGAAAUCCCGGGGCUCAACCUCGGAACUGCCUUUGAUACUGCGAGUCUCGAGUCCGAUAGAGGUGGGUGGAAUUCCUAGUGUAGAGGUGAAAUUCGUAGAUAUUAGGAAGAACACCGGUGGCGAAGGCGGCCCACUGGAUCGGUACUGACGCUGAGGUGCGAAAGCGUGGGGAGCAAACAGG